CAGCCGCCGCGGUAAUACGAAGGGGGCUAGCGUUGUUCGGAAUUACUGGGCGUAAAGCGCACGUAGGCGGAUAUUUAAGUCAGGGGUGAAAUCCCAGAGCUCAACUCUGGAACUGCCUUUGAUACUGGGUAUCUUGAGUAUGGAAGAGGUGAGUGGAAUUCCGAGUGUAGAGGUGAAAUUCGUAGAUAUUCGGAGGAACACCAGUGGCGAAGGCGGCUCACUGGUCCAUUACUGACGCUGAGGUGCGAAAGCGUGGGGAGCAAACAGGAUUAGAUACCCGCGUAGUCCCUGUCUCUUAUAC
rnacentral:rRNA from 1 species